CCCUGAACCGCCUGCCGGCAGCCGGUGUGCAGAGGCUGUUGUGAGCCGAGGGAGGAGCGGAGACGUCGCUGGGCUGCGGCUGCACGGAGGGAGAAGGCCGCGCUGAGGAUGUGGUUGCCCAUCCCUCCCUUGGGGAUGCCGUCGACUGCACCCGCCUCGCCUGUGCCUGGCCUGGCUUGCCUCAUGGCGUGGGGGUGAAAAGGGACAGGCGGCGGAGCGCUUACUGGCCGUGGACAGGAACUGCCCUAAGGGAAGCUGGAAUGGCCAGAGAAAGGUGAAGAAGAAGAAGAAGAAGAGAUGGAAGGCUCUCCGGCUGGCAGCUGCCUCCCGCUGCAGGCAAGAGAGCGCCUGCCUCGCCGGGCGGAGGACAGCCGAGCGACCGGAGUGACAGCAAAGGAAAGGCGGAGAGCGGGAGAAAGUAGCGUCUGCGCUGGCAAGCUCUCCCGGCAGCGCCGAGAGCCAGAGCUGCGGUGCCGCUGCGCCGAUGCUCCGUACGUUCGCAGUAACGGGUAGAGCGGAAGGCUCCGUGGCCAGGGAAGAGCGGCACGGACACGUUCCUGCUCGCUCCGUUGCACCGGAAUUUCGACGGCUGGGUUCGGCCGCUAAAUUGAUGGCGCUACUGGAAGAAAUUUCAGAAAAAUAUGAGAAAAGCUCUGUCCAGAGAUAUGGAGACGAAAUCAGUUGUACCUCAUCCCGUGACACCGGAAGACAUUGAGUAACUGUAAGCUGUGAUGCUCAGUGAAAUUACUAAGAGCGUGAAGUUUCCCGUGCCUUUGCUUUCACUCUCCCAUUCUCUUGUCUUGCGGCACGUCGCAUUUUUUGAGGCUGUGGAAGCGACAUCGGGAGCGAUGGGGUGUCAGAACCAGGUCCUCCUGCCUGUCGCUGGUUUUGCUUACCUUCGCAGUCUGCAUCUCUCUCUGUGUUCCUCAAUCCCUGUCCUCUCUUAUCUGUUCUAGUUUGUUUCACUGCAUAUGUCCCGUUCCCUGUCCCACCUUUAUCCUUCCUUCCUUCUUCCUCCCCUUUUUCUUUGUCCUUUUGUCCUGCUCCCCGACCCUGUUUCUCACUCCAUCUGACCGUCCUUUUCCUGGCACCUUUGUGUCUCUGCUCCUUGCCCUGUCUUUCUCUCCCCUCUGCCCAGUCCUCGUCUCCCUCUUUUGUCUCUCUGUCCCUCUGUCCUCCUUCUGCCUCUGCCCCUCUGUCCUGCUCCCUGCCCCUCUUGUUCUCACUCUGCCCCAGCGUCCCGCUCCCCGGUCCUCUUUCCCUCUGUUGAUCUCUCCUUCUCCCUGCUCCCCAGCCCGGUUCUCUCACGCUCCCGCUUCCUUUUUUUAUUCUCUGUUGCUCUGUCCUGCUCCCCAUGCCACUGUCCCUCGCCGUACCUCUCGGUCCGGCUCCCUGCCCUUAUUCUCUUUUCCUCCCUCGCCGUGGCGCUGCCCGCCCAGGGUCAUUUCUGCCUCUCUGUCACGCUCCCCGUCCUUGUUUGUCGGUCACCGUCCCGCUGCCUCUCUUCCUGCCGCUUCUUCCUCCCUCUCUGUCAGGCUCCCUGUCCCCGUCCUUCACUCG